CCUACGGGUGGCAGCAGUGAGGAAUAUUGGUCAAUGGACGAGAGUCUGAACCAGCCAAGUAGCGUGAAGGAUGACUGCCCUAUGGGUUGUAAACUUCUUUUAUAUGGGAAUAAAAUGUUCCACGUGUGGGAUUUUGUAUGUACCAUAUGAAUAAGGAUCGGCUAACUCCGUGCCAGCAGCCGCGGUAAUACGGAGGAUCCGAGCGUUAUCCGGUUUUCUGGGGUUUAAGGGGAGCGUAGGUGGAUUGUUAAGUCAGCGGUAAAAGCCCGGGGCUCAACCCCGGCGAGCCGUGGAAACUGGCUGUCUUGAGAUGUCGAGAGGUAUGCGGAAUGCGCGGUGUAGCGGUGAAAUGCUUAGAUAUUGCGCAGAACGCCGAUUGCGAAGGAAGCAUACCGGCGGCGAUCUGACGCUGAGGCACGAAAGCGUGGGUAUCGAACAGGAUUAGAUACCCGUGUAGUC
rnacentral:rRNA from 1 species